rfam:Lactobacillus coleohominis DSM 14060 Scaffold89, whole genome shotgun sequence.
AGAUUUGCGACGAGAGGAACAGUAAAUGUUUUCUUGACGAUCAGAGAGUCCCCGUAGUGGUGAAAGGGGAAGGUUAAGCAAGCAUUGAAGAUCAUCCUUGAGCAAUGUGACUUGAACUAAGUAGAGUCGCCAGGAAUGCAUCCUUUAUCAUGCCAGCGUAUGAACACGUACGUUCAGAGGUUUAGUCAGUAAUGACUAAAUAAAAUUAGGUGGUAACACGGUAAAUGGAUCGUCCUAAGU